GUAACAUAACAUGAUUAUAAUUGAAGAGUUUGAUCAUGGCUCAGAUUGAACGCUGGCGGUAGGCUUAACACAUGCAAGUCGUGCGAGAAAGUAUCUUCGGAUAUGAUUAGAGCGGCGGACGGGUGAGUAACGCGUAGGAAUCUACCUAGUAGAAGGGGAUAGCCCGAGGAAACUCGGAUUAAUACCGUAUACCUCCUUCGGGAGAAAGAAGGCCUCUCUUUGAAGCUUUCGCUACUAGAUGAGCCUGCGUAAGAUUAGCUUGUUGGUGAGGUAAAGGCUCACCAAGGCGACGAUCUUUAGCGGGUCUGAGAGGACGAUCCGCCACAUUGGGACUGAGACACGGCCCAGACUCCUACGGGAGGCAGCAGUGGGGAAUAUUGGACAAUGGGGGAAACCCUGAUCUAGCCAUGCCGCGUGAGUGACGAAGGCCUUAGGGUCGUAAAGCUCUUUCACCAGGGAUGAUAAUGACAGUACCUGGAGAAGAAACCCCGGCUAACUCCGUGCCAGCAGCCGCGGUAAUACGGAGGGG
rnacentral:rRNA from 1 species